rnacentral:rRNA from 1 species
AUUGUACGCUGGCGGCAUGCCUUACACAUGCAGGUCGAACGGCAGCACGGGUGCUUGCACCUGGUGGCGAGUGGCGAACGGGUGAGUAAUAUAUCGGAACGUACCUUAUUGUGGGGGAUAACGCAGCGAAAGCUGUGCUAAUACCGCAUAAUCCCUAAGGGGGAAAGCGGGGGACCGUAAGGCCUCGCGCAAUUAGAGCGGCCGAUACCUGAUUAGCUAGUUGGUGAGGUAAAGGCUCACCAAGGCAACGAUCAGUAGCUGGUCUGAGAGGACGAUCAGCCACACUUGGACUGAGACACGGCCCAGACUCCUACGGGAGGCAGCAGUGGGGAAUUUUGGACAAUGGGGGCAACCCUGAUCCAGCAAUGCCGCGUGAGUGAAGAAGGCCUUCGGGUUGUAAAGCUCUUUUGUCAGGGAAGAAACAGCAGCUCUAACACAGUAUGCGAAUGACGGUACCUGAAGAAUAAGCACCGGCUAACUACGUGCCAGCCGCCGCCGUAA